AACACAAACGAAAACACAAUCUGCACAAUCUGCGUCCCAAGCGCGCUGUGGGUGCCCUUGCUGUCAGUGGUCUUUUGGAUUACUCGACAUUUUUGGAAAUGAAAAGGCAACAGGAGUCAGGAGCAGAAAAAAGAAAAAAGAGGAAACAGCGAGAUGAUGCCCGUGCAUCACUUGCAGGGUCAAUGCUGAAAUACGUUCAAGCGGGAGCACGAGGCCAAGAAGAGGACACAGAUGAGGAAGAACCAUCGACAAGUUCACCCAAUCAACCCCAGCCAGCAAGCAGGCAGUCGUCGCUGCCAGCAGAUGUAAAUGACUCCAGAUGUGAUGAUGACCAUGCAGAUGGAGCCGAUGAUCACCAGAACCACGAACAGCUUCCCGUAGUCGCUGCGUGUCUGACUGGGGCGAGAUGGACAGCUGCUGGCAGAGCUGUAGUUCUGGAUGCCCAGCUGAUGAUGCAAACACACACACAAUCAAACAGUAGUUUACACUAGAUGUUUACACAAAUAACACACUUUAUAGCAGAACUAUUUUAUAUUUUGUGCUGUUACAAUUGUUUCGGCUUUGCAAUACACAGACAGUAGUAAAUAUCAAAAGACGUUAGUGGCCAGUGUACCUUAUUUAAAUUUUUCCUGAUUUCUCCCAGCAUGCCCAGCACAUCCUUGGUGGCUAUCACUCCUGGAGGAUGCAACAUGUGGAACAAUGUUAACAUUUAAAAUACAUACACAGUAUUUAAGUAUGUGUUUAUGUUAAGAAGCACUCAACGCACCAUUAAAAGCUUAAA